rnacentral:rRNA from 1 species
AGCGAACGCUGGCGGCAGGCCUAAUACAUGCAAGUCGAGCGGGUCCUUCGGGAUUAGCGGCGGACGGGUGAGUAACGCGUGGGAACGUGCCCUUUGGUACGGAACAACUGAGGGAAACUUCAGCUAAUACCGUAUGUGCCCUUCGGGGAAAGGAUUAUCGCCAUUGGAGCGGCCCGCGUUGGAUUAGGUAGUUGGUGAGGUAAAGGCUCACCAAGCCUACGAUCCAUAGCUGGUCUGAGAGGAUGACCAGCCACACUGGGACUGAGACACGGCCCAGACUCCUACGGGAGGCAGCAGUAGGGAAUCUUGCGCAAAUGGGCGAAAAGCCUGACGCAGCCAUGCCGCGUG